rnacentral:rRNA from 1 species
CCUACGGGAGGCAGCAGUGAGGAAUAUUGGUCAAUGGCCGAGACGCUGAACCAGCCAAGUCGCGUGAGGGAAGAAGGCUCUACGGGUUGUAAACCUCUUUUGUCGGGGAGCAAAUAGAGACACGUGUUACCUAUUGAGCGUACCCGAAGAAAAAGCAUAGGGAAACUCCGUGCCAGCGGCGGCGGUAAUUGGGCGGAUGAGAGGGUUAUCCGGAUUUCUUGGGUGAUAAGGGUGCGCGGGCGGGGGUGAAAGUGAGCGGUCAAAUUGCGGGGCUCAACCCCGUACUGCCGUUGAACCUGCAUACCUUGAGUGCACGAGAGGUAUGCGGAAUGCGUGGUGUAGCGGUGAAAUGCGUAGAUAUCAGGCAGAACUCCGGUGGCGAAGGCAGCAUACCGGAGCGUAACUGACGCUGAUGCACGAAAGCGUGGGGAGCGAACAGGAUUAGAUACCCUGGUAGUC